rnacentral:rRNA from 1 species
UGAGUAUAAUGUAGUUUUUUUGUGCUUAGUGCCGGCUGUUUUUAUUAUAAUCACAGUAAGGAGUCGAAGAUGAAGAGCGGCUUCUUUUUUGAAAGCUUCGGCUUUUAGCGAUUUUAUUCGCAUAAAGUUCUAUAUUGAAUACAGAUAAUGACUAUUUUCAAUAUAUAAGUCUUGACCAAAACACGUGCCAGCAGUCGCGGUAACACGGGAUUAGACGAGUGUUAUUCAUCUUUAAUAGGUUUAAAGGGUACGUAGACGGCAAAAUCAGCCCCCAUUGAAAUGGAAGGGAACAAUUCUGCUAGAGUUUUAUGUGAGAGGAAUUUAGUACUAGCAGAGUAGGGAUGAAAUACUUUGAUACUGCAGGGCACUGAUAACGGCGAAGGCAGACCUCUAUGUAAAAACUGACGUUAAGGGACAAAGGCUUGGGUAACAAACAGGAUUAGGUACCCUAAUAGUCCAGGCAGAGACUGAUGAGUGCCAUAGAUUAGGAUAUAUUUGAUCUAUAAAUGAAAGUGUAAGCAUUCCACCUUAAGAGUAAUGCGGCAACGCAGGAACUAAAAUCAUUAGACCGUUUCUGAUACCAGUAGUGAAGUAUGUUGUUUAAUUCGAUAACCCACGAAAAAUCUUACCGCAAUUUGAAUAUUAUAACAACUAACACCCUUAUAAUUUAGUUUAAAUAAAGGGUUUAGGGAAAGUCUUUUAAUAAUAUAAUUAAUCUGAUGAAAGUGUUAAUAAUACAGGUGUUGCAUGGCUGUCUUCAGUUGAUGUCGUGAGGUGCAGGUUAGCUCCAUUAAAUCAACGUGAACCCUUACUUUAUUUUAAACGGUAAACCCGUGUUACAUAGAGUAGUUCCCCGGCAUAUCGGACAGAUAACAGGGCCCAAGACUAGUCCUCAUGGCCCUAACAUAGCGGGCUAUAGACG